GACGAACGCUGGCGGCGUGCUUAACACAUGCAAGUCGAACGGAAAGGCCCUGCUUUUGUGGGGUGCUCGAGUGGCGAACGGGUGAGUAACACGUGAGUAACCUGCCCUUGACUUUGGGAUAACUUCAGGAAACUGGGGCUAAUACCGGAUAGGAGCUCCUGCUGCAUGGUGUGGGUUGGAAAGUUUCGGCGGUUGGGGAUGGACUCGCGGCUUAGCAGCUUGUUGGUGGGGUAGUGGCUUACCAAGGCUUGGACGGGUAGCCGGCCUGGGAGGGUGACCGGCCAAAUUGGACUUGGGAAGCGGCCCGAGGGCAUCCGGGGGGAAGGAGGGGAAACUUUUCGAGAAAGGGCGGAGGACGGAAGAAGGAACGCCGGGUGGGAAAUGCCGGCUUUAGGGUAGAAACCGCUUUCGCCUGUGACGAAGCGUGAGUGACGGUAAUGGGUAAAGAAGCACCGGCUAACUACGUG
rnacentral:rRNA from 1 species